ACACAUGCAAGUCGAGGGGCAUCACGAGGUAGCAAUACUUUGGUGGCGACCGGCGCACGGGUGCGUAACGCGUAUGUAACCUACCUAUAACAGGGGCAUAACACUGAGAAAUUGGUACUAAUUCCCCAUAAUAUUCGGAGAGGCAUCUCUCCGGGUUGAAAACUCCGGUGGUUAUAGAUGGACAUGCGUUGUACUAGCUAGUUGGUGAGGUAACGGCUCACCAAGGCAACGAUACAUAGGGGGACUGAGAGGUUAACCCCCCACACUGGUACUGAGACACGGACCAGACUCCUACGGGAGGCAGCAGUGAGGAAUAUUGGUCAAUGGACGCAAGUCUGAACCAGCCAUGCCGCGUGCAGGAAGACGGCUCUAUGAGUUGUAAACUGCUUUUGUACGAGGGUAAACUCACCUACGUGUAGGUGACUGAAAGUAUCGUACGAAUAAGGAUCGGCUAACUCCGUGCCAGCAGCCGCGGUAAUACGGAGGAUUCAAGCGUUAUCCGGAUUUAUUGGGUUUAAAGGGUGCGUAGGCGGUUUGAUAAGUUAGAGGUGAAAUCCCGGGGCUUAACUCCGGAACUGCCUCUAAUACUGUUAGACUAGAGAGUAGUUGCGGUAGGCGGAAUGUAUGGUGUAGCGGUGAAAUGCUUAGAGAUCAUACAGAACACCGAUUGCGAAGGCAGCUUACCAAACUAUAUCUGACGUUGAGGCACGAAAGCGUGGGGAGCAAACAGGAUUAGAUACCCUGGUAGUCCACGCAGUAAACGAUGAUAACUCGUUGUCGGCGAUACACAGUCGGUGACUAAGCGAAAGCGAUAAGUUAUCCACCUGGGG
rnacentral:rRNA from 1 species